UACGUAGGGUGCAAGCGUUGUCCGGAAUUAUUGGGCGUAAAGAGCUCGUAGGCGGUCUGUCGCGUCUGCUGUGAAAAUCCAGGGCUCAACCCUGGACCUGCAGUGGGUACGGGCAGACUAGAGUGCGGUAGGGGAGAUCGGAAUUCCUGGUGUAGCGGUGAAAUGCGCAGAUAUCAGGAGGAACACCGGUGGCGAAGGCGGAUCUCUGGGCCGCAACUGACGCUGAGGAGCGAAAGCAUGGGGAGCGAACAGG
rnacentral:rRNA from 1 species